rnacentral:rRNA from 1 species
AUUGAACGCUGGCGGCAGGCCUAACACAUGCAAGUCGAGCGGAUGAAGGGAGCUUGCUCCUGGAUUCAGCGGCGGACGGGUGAGUAAUGCCUAGGAAUCUGCCUGGUAGUGGGGGAUAACGUCCGGAAACGGGCGCUAAUACCGCAUACGUCCUGAGGGAGAAAGUGGGGGAUCUUCGGACCUCACGCUAUCAGAUGAGCCUAGGUCGGAUUAGCUAGUUGGUGGGGUAAAGGCCUACCAAGGCGACGAUCCGUAACUGGUCUGAGAGGAUGAUCAGUCACACUGGAACUGAGACACGGUCCAGACUCCUACGGGAGGCAGCAGUGGGGAAUAUUGGACAAUGGGCGAAAGCCUGAUCCAGCCAUGCCGCGUGUGUGAAGAAGGUCUUCGGAUUGUAAAGCACUUUCAGUUGGGAGGAAGGGCAGUAAGUUAAUACCUUGCUGUUUUGACGUUACCAACAGAAUAAGCACCGGCUAACUUCGUG